rnacentral:lncRNA from 1 species
GCCGGCGGCCGCGUUGAGCUGUGCGGCGCGGGCCGGGCGAGCUGCCGCCUGCGCCCGAAGCGAGCGGAGCGCGGCCAUGCCCGGGCCCCUAGCGCGCUGCCGCAGCCCGCGCCCGGCGCCGCCUUCUUCAAUGGGCAACCUGCUCGGCGGGGUCCAGCUUUCGCGGAGCCCACCACCUGGGAGGAUUGGGCUUCCACUUGGCAGACCGACUUGGAGGCCCGAGCCUGAGCAGCCGGGGCCGGCAGGCGGUGGCGAGGGCCAGGAGCAGGACGAGCGGGAGCAGCCCGAGCAGCCUCCCGAGAGAGCCGGAGGGCGACCCCGCGCCAGUCCGGUGCCCGAGGACCACGCGGAGGCGGCGGGCGCGGAGCAGGUACGCGGCCCCCGGACCCACAGUGGGCCCGGAGGGGCAGUUCGCCCAGUACGAGGGAGGGGACUGUGCGCGGCCCCCCGGGGGGUGCAGGGCGGGAUGCUCGGCGUUCGUGGCGCCGGUACCUGGGGGAGCCUGCGGUGUUCAGGAUCGCCCGGUGGUUCGCUGCUGGCCCGGGGGCCUUGCUGUGAGCACCGCAGGGAAGUCCCCCAAGGCAAACCUCGACUCCACUCUUGUUCUCUCUGCCUCUGCAGCGCAGCUGGGUGAUGCGAAGGUGGGGUGGGAGGAACUAGACUAAAAAUAGAAGAUUCUGAGGACCCGGCCGGUGCGUGUUAAUUGAUUUUUAUUUUCAUCUUUUUUUUUACAAAAUUAAAAUAUUAUUCAGAUUAAGACAACUGCAGUUGUGGAGCGGCCCCGCAAGCCUCCCCUGCCCCCCAAGCGGGGGUCUAUGACCAUUAAAAGUAUCGCAGAAGGUUCCCAAGCAAACUUAAAAAUAAC